AUUGAACGCUGGCGGCAGGCCUAACACAUGCAAGUCGAGCGAGUGGCGGACGGGUGAGUAAUGUAUGGGGAACUGCCUGAUGGAGGGGGAUAACUACUGGAAACGGUAGCUAAUACCGCAUACCAUCGGAUGUGCCCAUAUGGGAUUAGCUUGUGGGUGGGGUAAAGGCUCACCAAGGCGACGAUCUCUAGCUGGUCUGAGAGGAUGACCAGCCACACUGGAACUGAGACACGGCCCAUACUCCUACGGGAGGCAGCAGUGGGGAAUAUUGCACAAUGGGCGCAAGCCGGAUGCAGCCAUGCCGCGUGUAUGAAGAAGGCCUUAGGGUUGUAAAGUACUUUCAGCGGGGAGGCGUUACCCGCAGAAGAAGCACCGGCUAACUCCGUGCCAGCAGCCGCGGUAAUAC
rnacentral:rRNA from 1 species